rnacentral:misc_RNA from 1 species
UUUAAGCAAUAUUUCAGUACUAAAUUCUGUUUGGCUCCAUCGAGUAAUCCGUUUGUUAUUUUUUUGUGUGUGCUGCGUUAGAAUUGAAAAUGAAUUUAAAACGAAAAAAAGUGACCACUAAAAGUGCCACAAAAACCCAUGAUAAUAAAAGACAACGUAGACGGUUUCGAGCUAGUUUCACCCCUAACAAUGUUUUAUUAAGCAGGGAGCGGGGAUGGGAAUAUAAGCAGAUAACCAUCACAAGGGUUCCCGGUUAUGGUUUCGGUAUAGCUGUUUCCGGUGGAAGAGAUAAUCCUCAUUUUGCUUCAGGUGACCCCAGUAUAGCUGUCAGCGACGUGUUGGCCAAUGGACCAGCAGAAAGGCUUUUACACGUUAACGACAGAAUUUUGUCAGUUAACGGUAUAUCGCUUCAAAAUGUGGAUUAUGCCACCGCAGUUCAGGUAUUGAGGGACUCGGGCGACACUGUAGUUUUAGUUAUUAAAAGGAGGACAGUCAGUCACCAUCAUAGUCACAGUUUAGGGUCAGGUCCUCCUCUUGCUGCUCUAGGAAUCAACCCGUUACCUCCUAAAAUUACGCUUACAAAAAACUCAAAAAAGGAAGAUUUUGGAAUAGUCCUGGGAUGUAAAUUGUUUGUCAAAGAAAUAUCAUCAAAAGCCCGCGAGCAACUUCUGAGUACCAAUCAGGUACUUAGCGAGGGCGAUUUUAUAACCAAAAUUAACAAUACGAAUUGUAACGACAUAAUGUCGCUGAAGGAGGCAAAAAAAAUUAUUGAUAGUUCCAAAGAAAAAUUGCACCUCACAGUUCUGAGGGAUUUCACAGGCGGUGGUAAUCAAAACAUUUCUCAUCAAACGCAAAAUUCGUUCAGUAGUGUAGGGGCCGUAAAUAAUUUUUACAAGGAUGACUUCUUGACCUCGAGUCAAAGUUAUUCGAAUCAAAAUUUGUACGUACAACCUCCGACCAGGAACCCGAAUCUCAAUAACAGUAACGGGGGUUUCGAGGACAAAAACGAUAUCAAUACUGGUCCCAAUUCGUUGCCAGACGAUAAAAACAAUUUGGCGCCCAGGGGUAGGCUUAGGCAACCCUUAAGCGAAGCUAAUAUGAAUCAACUGAACAAAAACAGUUUAGAAGGUUAUGGAAGAUCAAAAGGUAGAGAAGAACCCCCCAGACCACCACCUCCUCGCCCUGAAGAUUAUUACAGCAGUAGGCAAUUAUAUGAUGACGAUCCUAUAAUUCAAAAAAAUCGACAGCCAGUGCCUGAUGCAAGGUACAUUACUUUCCAUAAAGAAGGAUCUGUGGGGAUACGGCUUACGGGAGGUAAUUUUGUGGGCAUAUUCGUUACAGCGGUCCAACCUGGCAGUCCUGCAUCUCUACAAGGAUUGCAACCAGGAGAUAAAAUACUCAAAGUAAAUGAUAUGGACAUGUCAGGUGUGACAAGGGAAGAAGCGGUCUUGUUUCUAUUAAGUCUCCAAGAUCGUAUAGAACUCAUAGUGCAAUAUUGUAAAGAGGAAUACGAUAGUAUUGUGGCGCAGCAGAAGGGUGACAGUUUCUAUAUCAAAACUCAUUUCCAUUAUGAUAGUCCUGCGAAAGGGGAAAUGAGUUUCAAGUCGGGAGAUAUUUUUCAUGUGAUCGACACCCUUUACAACGGAGUGGUUGGGUGCUGGCAAGUUUUCAGGAUUGGACGCAAUAAUCAGGAGGUCCAAAAAGGAAUAAUCCCUAACAAAGCAAGGGCAGAAGAACUUGCAACGGCACAAUUCAAUGCCACGAAAAAAGAAAUGUCUGCAAACGAAUCUAGGGGUAGUUUCUUUAGGAGACGCCGCAAUUCGAAUAGGAGAUCGAAAAGUUUAGGAAAAGAACAUUGGGACGAUAUCUUGUUUUCUGACACAGUCUCCAAAUUUCCGGCAUACGAAAGGGUUGUUCUUAAACAUCCCGGUUUUACCAGGCCGAUUAUUCUUUUCGGUCCUGUGGCCGACGUGGCCAGAGAUAAACUACUUAAAGACUUUCCCGACAAAUUCAUUUCACCCCCAUUUGUUAUAGAACUCGAUUCGAGCGUGGAAGAUGCUAAAUCUCAUAAACUGUCUUCAAAUAUUAUACGAUUGUCUGCCAUAAGGGAAGUUAUUUCCACUGGAAAGCAUGCGUUAUUGGACAUCACCCCCAACGCUGUAGAGCGAUUAAACUACGCCCAAUUAUACCCUGUCGUUGUAUUUUUUAAGGCCGAAACCAAAAUGGUAGUGAAGCAAAUGAGACAAGGACUGCCAAAAUCCGCUCAUAAAAGUUCGAAAAAAUUAUUGGAGCAGUGCCAGAAACUAGACAAAGUGUGGAGUCAUAUAUUCAAUGCUACCAUAAUUUUAAAUGAUAAUACUGAUACUUGGUAUAGGAAGGUUAGGGAAAUUAUCGAUAAACAGCAGAGUGGACCCGUUUGGAUGAGCGAGAGCAAGCUUGCCGUUGACAUGUUUUCGGACAUCUACUUCCCAAUAAAAUCCCUCACGCGUCCCCGCAAAGCCCAGUCUUUACCCCGUCAAACGGUCCCCUCCUACUACCGACGUCCCAGCCGCAGAACCGCCCACCUGUCCAUGUACAACACAACACAACCGCGAUCUCUCCCUCGCGACCUCUACGACCCCUAUUAUUUCCUACCAUUUCACUAUGCAUCGAGCGAAUGUAGCAUUUGCAACUGUCCCAUCCGUUACAACAACAACAACAACACCAACCAAAAUGGAAAUAUCGUCCAUCCCGAAGAAUCACUAUCCGAUGACUUCCUAUUCCCUAUGUCUUCGUUACGUCUUUCAUACGCCAGCAGUCCCGAAAGCGACCUGGAGCACAGUCCCGGCCCUCCUAAUUCGCCGGGACUCUGCACAUCCGGAAACGGAAACGGGGGCAGGUUGACCAAAGCCAGUUCCGAUCCGAGCGUUGUCAUGCCCGAUAACAGCACGACCGACAUUCUACCUCCGUACCAGCCCACGUACGACACACGUUACGGGUUUUCAAAUAAGUCCCAGGAUCAACUCAGUCCGAACGCAGGUCCUAAUGACUCUAAAUAUUUGGGGCAACCACCCAAUUCGCAGGACAUUCCCGGCUCUCUAGAUACUCAAAAUCCUUAUAAACAGAGCGGCCUUUAUGGAUGUCAGGACUAUUCGAAAAUUGAUUACAACAGCAAGGGCAUAGCCGAUUCCAGAAAUGAAUUUUUGCUCAAAGAAUCUAUCGGAGAUUCCGGGAGACCAAAUAACGACUUCCGGAACGAGUUCGUUAAGGAAUAUCAAAAGGAUCCUAGGAACGAUUACGUAAAGGAUUUGAGAGGAGAGCAGAGAAAUGAUCUGCAAAAUAACCAAAAUAGAAACGACUUUAACCAUAACGAACCGCACAAAAGACAGAGUAGUAGUCUUCAUGGUAAUUUCAACCAUUCGAAAGGUCACAGCGUGAGUGACCAAAGCACCAGGAGCCCUAGCGGCGAAAGGAUGUUCUCCAAUGUGCCCGACUUACCUCCUAGAGUUGACAGGGCAAUCAAACCUGUUGGUCUUCUAACCACUUCCAAUAAAACUCCUAGUGGGAGAUCUGCUCACGAAAGAUUAUUCGGUACAAAGGCUCCAGGUCAGGUUGAUAAUUCGGAUCAAAAUCCGUCUUCGAAAGGGGGAUCUUUAGAAAGGAGCGUAAAUUCCAAUUCCAAAUCGGAUUCACUUUCGAGUUAUGAUUCGUUUAAGAAUUCAAACGUGCCUAAUACGAGGAUAAUUCCUAACGCUCACGAUGAUCUGAAAACGACAUUAUCGAAAAUCGAACAGGAGCCCACUAUGCCCAGCAGUCCCCCGAAGUAUGGUUCUAGAUGGGACCAGAACCAUCACAGACACGACAGACUCGGUUCGAAAUUAGACUUGAAAUAUUCGGUAGGACCUAAUUGUUCCAAUAACGAUCUGAAUAUAGACGCCAGUCCUAGAAAUUCCAGAGAAUUGGACAAGGACCCCAGUCCUUCGAAUACUUUAAGUCCCAGAUCGUCAACAGAAAGAGACAGACACGAUAUGUAUAGAUCCCCUAGUAAGCAACCAGUUCCAAAUAAAAUAUACAUGGAAACAAAAACUGAUUACGGAAAGUACAGCAGAAACAAUAACACUUCUCUGCCCGAAUAUGCCCGGUCUUCGCAUCAGGAUUUGAGCCAGUCUCAUCUCAGCGUACACCAAAUGCCUCCUCAUCAACACUCACCAAUGAAAAAUAAUCAUUUCGGUCAUAUGAACGGUUUCGACAACGGUCCCCCAAUUAGCAAUACUAAUGGACCUCCGAACGCGUACAAACCGAUUCCACCACCCAAACCAAAAAAUUACAAACCGCCUUAUAAAAACGAAAACUUACAGCCCCCCUUACCCUAUCAACACGGAAAGAGUCACAGCAAUCCAGUGGACCAGCGUCAGCCGAUGAUAAGUCCAAACCAUGACUACUACUACAACAUGCAACCUCCUGGUGGUAUGACCAACAAUUGGCAUACAGAAACGGCGGUACGCUACAACCCCCCUAUGCACGGUCCCUACGACAUGGCCCCUCCGUACGAAGCCCAUCGACACCCAAGCAUAUCGUACGCAUCAAGAAGCGAAAUAACUCCCAUUUCCCAACGAGAAAAUAGCAGCAACAAUAAUAAUAAUAAUUAUAGCAGGAACGAGAUUCCACAAAGGGACAACAACGGCUGCGGCAGGCACGAGUUACCCCCAAUGUUACCGCGGGACGGUAGCUAUCCCCCCAUUGACGGUAACGAAGGGGGUGGUGGUGGUGUAUUGGAUCCGAGGAUGAUUGACAGACCGAGCAUUGUUGAUCUUCAAAGUAGCAGAGAACAAAGAGGUUCAGCCUUUGAACUGUAUCGAAAACCAAUGCAUCAUAAUUUGAGAUCCGAGAUUGUGUGAAAACGCUCCGCCAUUGGACCUAGAAAAUGGUGAAGCCAUGCUGUCUCCUUUGGUAAUGUGUGGACCUCAAGGGACAGAAUUUUUGAAGCCUGUUACUCUUAGCAUUCCCCAUUAUGCCAACACAUUACCCAGUUUAGGAAUCAGUUUGAAAGCGACUGAUUCCGAAAAAGAUUUGCAUACCGAUUGGGACAAUAUUUUACUCCCUAGCAAUCACACGGCGAAUUAUGUUUCAGUAAAAGUCGAUCAUUUUUAAUCUCUUUUAAUUAUUUUACUUUAAGUCGAAUUUGUGCCUUUUUUAUCUAAAUAAGCAAUACUCGAAAAUCAAAUGUUUUAAUAAAUCGUUGUAAAUAUUAAAAAGGUUUAACGUUAUACUGAUUAGUAAUAUUAGUAUUCAUUUGUGUUACUGUUAGGUUAUAGUUUUUAAGCA